GAUGAACGCUGGCGGCGUGCCUAAUACAUGCAAGUCGAGCGAACAGAUGAGGAGCUUGCUCCUCUGACGUUAGCGGCGGACGGGUGAGUAACACGUGGAUAACCUACCUAUAAGACUGGGAUAACUUCGGGAAACCGGAGCUAAUACCGGAUAAUAUAUUGAACCGCAUGGUUCAAUAGUGAAAGACGGUUUUGCUGUCACUUAUAGAUGGAUCUGCGCCGCAUUAGCUAGUUGGUAAGGUAACGGCUUACCAAGGCAACGAUGCGUAGCCGACCUGAGAGGGUGAUCGGCCACCUGGGAACUGGGACACGGUCCAGGCUCCUACGGGAGGCAGCAGUCGGGAAUCUUCCGCAGUGGGCGAAAGCCUGACGGAGCAACGCCGCGUGAGUGAUGAAGGUCUUCGGAUCGUAAAACUCUGUUAUUAGGGAAGAACAAAUGUGUAAGUAACUAUGCACGUCUUGACGGUACCUAAUCAGAAAGCCACGGCUAACUACGUG
rnacentral:rRNA from 1 species